UUUUAUCAACAGAUGGACCGUUUACUGAAAAAGCAAAAUGUACGAAAACGUCACCAUGCGACGUCAUCAAAACGUCAUCUUUUUAAAAUUAGCAAAUACAAUAUAUUAUAAGUAUCCAUUUCGUAAAAUAUGAAGAGUAAGCAUGGAUAAAUAUCCAAUUGUUCAAAAUAUUUGAAGAAAUUAAACAAAAGCCCGGUUAUUAGACUUUUGACGAUGUGAAUCUAAGCAUGGAUGCAAUUUGGGUACUCCUCAUUACAGAAUCAUGGAUGGUUUGGAGGUUGAUUCAAACCCAUUUUUCAAUGACUCAAUAUGGAUUAAAAUUUAAAUUGGUGUACCUAUACAAUCAAGAAGGAUAGGGCUACAAAAUAAACACAGUAUGGACAUUUUUUCUUGAUCAUAAA
rnacentral:lncRNA from 1 species